AUGUGUUUCUCAGCUCCCCGCUGCGCCCAGCCUGGGCCCCGGGGCACCCUUUUAGGAGGCCGUCGCCGGGCAAGGCGACCCCCACCAGCGCCCGGGGCUCCCGGGAGCCCCUUAAAUGGCGGCCGCCGGGCUCCCGGAGGGGGCAGGCCGACGACGACCAUGCCGAGGGAAGCCGUGCUUCUGCUGGCCUGGCUGGCCUUGCUGCUGGCCCUCCCGGCCCCACUGCUGGCCUUCCCCAGCGCAGCGCCAGAUGUCACAGCUUCCUACCCGAAGGACACAACCACAGAAGUUACUGGUGAAGUGACCAUCAGUGAAAGCAGAGGCCGAAGGAGUGAAUACAUUGAAUAUGACUCUAUCGCAGAGGAAGACUACUUGACUGGUGAGCCCAGCAGUAUCUCCACUGAGCAAUAUGUGAGGAACAGAACACAAGAAUUCAUCUAUGUCAAGGAAAAUGCAGGAGGAAGAGAUCAGCCAUAAUGUGGCGCACGGACUGAAGAAACAUGGUCAUGAACUGGCAAUUUCAGCUCUAUUGCAGGAACAUUUGAUUCUUAAAAUUACAGAAUUUGUCUUGUAGGUUAGGAACAUUUUUGUAAAAGUUGCUUUGAAUCUUCAUUGUGUUUUCUAUUAUUAGAACCUGGAUUGCAAUAAAUCAACAUCAAUUUUCCUUGCCCUGCUGUCG
ensembl:lncRNA